GCAUAUCAAUAAGCGGAGGAAAAGAAACCAACAGGGAUUGCCCUAGUAACGGCGAGUGAAGCGGCAACAGCUCAAAUUUGAAAUCUGGCGUCUUUGGCGUCCGAGUUGUAAUUUGCAGAGGGCGCUUUGGCAUUGGCAGCGGUCCAAGUUCCUUGGAACAGGACGUCACAGAGGGUGAGAAUCCCGUACGUGGUCGCUAGCCUUUACCGUGUAAAGCCCCUUCGACGAGUCGAGUUGUUUGGGAAUGCAGCUCUAAAUGGGAGGUAAAUUUCUUCUAAAGCUAAAUACUGGCCAGAGACCGAUAGCGCACAAGUAGAGUGAUCGAAAGAUGAAAAGCACUUUGGAAAGAGAGUUAAAAAGCACGUGAAAUUGUUGAAAGGGAAGCGCUUGCAGCCAGACUUGCCUGUAGUUGCUCAUCUAGGUUUCUACCUAGUGCACUCUUCUAUAGGCAGGCCAGCAUCAGUUUGGGCGGUUGGAUAAAGGUCUCUGUCAUGUACCUCUCUUCGGGGAGAACUUAUAGGGGAGACGACAUGCAACCAGCCUGGACUGAGGUCCGCGCAUCUGCUAGGA
rnacentral:rRNA from 1 species